rnacentral:sRNA from 1 species
AAACCGCGUAGGGGGCGCGCCUGAGAGCCUGAAAACUUCCUGGUUAGCAAAUACUGAGGUUGGAAAGGGCCUGAACUUGGCAGUCCAUAGAUCCAGGUCGAGUUCCGGUUUCCCUGCUUACGGAUCGGGCGGCCUCCCUACGUUGCGAUAACCUCUCUGAGCCCCCUUCCUUGCCGAUUAAAGCGAGGGUGAUCAAGUCUUGCAAGUUUUUGGAAAAUGAUUCUAACCCAAUCUGUGGUGUAAAAAAGCAAACCACAACCACUCGGGGGCUUUUUUCACAGGGCAACACGUGGCUCCCAGUUCAGGUCCCGGGUUGGCGGGUGCAGGCACAGGCUCUGCCUCCCCCAAGGGGCAGACGGUCUGGAAGGAGGUGGCGACACCUGUCCGCACACACCUGAGCCUGCGGAGGAACCAGCGGGGCACAAAAGCGCUCCCCACCCCCACACAGCACCCAGCGCGCGCCUCUCACCACGCCCGAGGCUGUGCUCUGGAGAUGCCUGCCUUGCCCUUUUCUUCCUGCAGUAGCCAGGCCUUUGCCAUUUACUAGGCGCUUUCAGAAUGUUCAUUUCUCCGUAAUUUCCACUGCUUGAAGGCUGCUCGAGGAACAGGAGCAGCGGCGAAACCCAGGUCUGUCGGUUUACGAGAAUGCAGUUUCCAAGUACGGCUCUCAGUUCCAAGGCAAUUCCCAGCACGACGCCCUGGAAUUCCUGCUCUGGUUGCUGGAUCGUGUACAUGAGGACCUGGAGGGUUCAUCCCGAGGGCCGGUGUCGGAGAAGCUUCCGCCUGAAGCCACUAAAACCUCUGAGAACUGCCUGUCACCAUCAGCUCAGCUUCCUCUAGGUCAAAGCUUUGUGCAAAGCCACUUUCAAGCACAAUAUAGAUCUUCCUUGACUUGUCCCCACUGCCUGAAACAGAGCAACACCUUUGAUCCUUUCCUGUGUGUGUCCCUACCUAUCCCCUUGCGCCAGACGAGGUUCUUGAGUGUCACCUUGGUCUUCCCCUCUAAGAGCCAGCGGUUCCUGCGGGUUGGCUUGGCCGUGCCAAUCCUCAGCACAGUGGCAGCCCUGAGGAAGAUGGUUGCAGAGGAAGGAGGCGUCCCUGCAGAUGAGGUGAUCUUGGUUGAACUGUAUCCCAGUGGAUUCCAGCGGUCUUUCUUUGAUGAAGAGGACCUGAAUACCAUCGCAGAGGGAGAUAAUGUGUAUGCCUUUCAAGUUCCUCCCUCACCCAGCCAGGGGACUCUCUCAGCUCAUCCACUGGGUCUGUCGGCCUCCCCACGCCUGGCAGCCCGUGAGGGCCAGCGAUUCUCCCUCUCUCUCCACAGUGAGAGCAAGGUGCUAAUCCUCUUCUGUAACUUGGUGGGGUCAGGGCAGCAGGCUAGCAGGUUUGGGCCACCCUUCCUGAUAAGGGAAGACAGAGCUGUUUCCUGGGCCCAGCUCCAGCAGUCUAUCCUCAGCAAGGUCCGCCAUCUUAUGAAGAGUGAGGCCCCUGUACAGAACCUGGGGUCUCUGUUCUCCAUCCGUGUUGUGGGACUCUCUGUGGCCUGCAGCUAUUUGUCUCCGAAGGACAGUCGGCCCCUCUGUCACUGGGCAGUUGACAGGGUUUUGCAUCUCAGGAGGCCAGGAGGCCCUCCACAUGUCAAGCUGGCGGUGGAGUGGGAUAGCUCUGUCAAGGAGCGCCUGUUCGGGAGCCUCCAGGAGGAGCGAGCGCAGGAUGCCGACAGUGUGUGGCAGCAGCAGCAGGCGCAUCAGCAGCACAGCUGUACCUUGGAUGAAUGUUUUCAGUUCUACACCAAGGAGGAGCAGCUGGCCCAGGAUGACGCCUGGAAGUGUCCUCACUGCCAAGUCCUGCAGCAGGGGAUGGUGAAGCUGAGUUUGUGGACGCUGCCUGACAUCCUCAUCAUCCACCUCAAAAGGUUCUGCCAGGUGGGCGAGAGAAGAAACAAGCUCUCCACGCUGGUGAAGUUUCCGCUCUCUGGACUCAACAUGGCUCCCCAUGUGGCCCAGAGAAGCACCAGCCCCGAGGCAGGACUGGGCCCCUGGCCUUCCUGGAAGCAGCCGGACUGCCUGCCCACCAGUUACCCGCUGGACUUCCUGUACGACCUGUAUGCCGUCUGCAACCACCACGGCAACCUGCAAGGUGGGCAUUACACAGCCUACUGCCGGAACUCUCUGGAUGGCCAGUGGUACAGUUAUGAUGACAGCACGGUGGAACCGCUUCGAGAGGAUGAGGUCAACACCAGAGGGGCUUAUAUCCUGUUCUAUCAGAAGCGGAACAGCAUCCCUCCCUGGUCAGCCAGCAGCUCCAUGAGAGGCUCUACCAGCUCCUCCCUGUCUGAUCACUGGCUCCUACGGCUCGGGAGCCACGCUGGCAGCACAAGGGGAAGCCUGCUGUCCUGGAGCUCUGCCCCCUGCCCCUCCCUGCCCCAGGUUCCUGACUCUCCCAUCUUCACCAACAGCCUCUGCAAUCAGGAAAAGGGAGGGUUGGAGUCCAGGCGUUUGGUACGGGGCGUGAAAGGCAGAAGCAUUAGCAUGAAGGCACCCACCACUUCCCGAGCCAAGCAGGGACCAUUCAAGACCAUGCCUCUGCGGUGGUCCUUUGGAUCCAAGGAGAAACCACCAGGUGCCUCCGUCGAGUUGGUGGAGUACUUGGAAUCCAGACGAAGACCUCGGUCCACGAGCCAGUCCAUUGUGUCGCUGUUGACGGGCACUGCGGGUGAGGAUGAGAAGUCAGCAUCGCCGAGGUCCAACGUCGCCCUUCUUGCUAACAGCGAAGAUGGUGGGCAGGCCAUUGAAAGAGGUCCAGCCGGGGUGCCCUGUCCCUCGGCUCAACCCAACCACUGUCUGGCCCCUGGAAACUCAGAUGGUCCAAACACAGCAAGGAAACUCAAGGAAAAUGCAGGGCAGGACAUCAAGCUUCCCAGAAAGUUUGACCUGCCUCUCACUGUGAUGCCUUCAGUGGAGCAUGAGAAACCAGCUCGACCGGAGGGCCAGAAGGCCAUGAACUGGAAGGAGAGCUUCCAGAUGGGAAGCAAAAGCAGCCCACCCUCCCCCUAUAUGGGAUUCUCUGGAAACAGCAAAGACAGUCGCCGAGGCACCUCUGAGCUAGACAGACCCCUGCAGGGGACACUCACCCUUCUGAGGUCCGUGUUUCGGAAGAAGGAGAACAGGAGGAAUGAGAGGGCAGAGGUCUCUCCACAGGUGCCCCCCGUCUCCCUGGUGAGUGGCGGGCUGAGCCCUGCCAUGGACGGGCAGGCUCCAGGCUCACCUCCUGCCCUCAGGAUCCCAGAGGGCCUGGCCAGGGGCCUGGGCAGCCGGCUCGAGAGGGAUGUCUGGUCAGCCCCCAGCUCUCUCCGCCUCCCUCGUAAAGCCAGCAGGGCCCCGAGAGGCAGUGCACUGGGCAUGUCACAAAGGACUGUUCCAGGGGAACAGGCUUCUUAUGGCACCUUUCAGAGGGUCAAAUAUCACACUCUUUCUUUAGGUCGAAAGAAAACCUUACCGGAGUCCAGCUUUUGAUGGAGUGUGUCAGUAUUGUGUGACGCUGGCAUUCUUGGGACUUUGCCAAGCAACUGUAGGCAGCUCGUGUUGAGAAUGGGUUUCCAGGAAACCCAUUGUCUUGUAAUCUCU